rnacentral:rRNA from 1 species
AUGGCGCUGAAUAAAGAUUCUUUGGAUCUUUCCCUCACAAGGCCUUCGGUCCUGUGGUUGCAGAUGGAUUUGGAAACCAGUCUGUUCAAGCAAGGUUGGCGUGGCGGCGGCGGCAUCCUCGUGAUGGUCCUGUGUCCUCGGGCUCCGCCGUUGCGACGACGUUUGCUCCAGCGUCGGCGUGGAGCUUGGGAGGUAGUCCAGGAGUGGAUGCAGAUUGUGGUCUGCAUCGACGACAUCUGGAAGACGGAACGUGUGCUGGAUUCGUGGUUCGUGGAUGCCAGGUAUGGUUUCGGCGUCUUAGUCGUGGUGGGGUACCAGAUCUGA